CCUACGGGAGGCAGCAGUGAGGAAUAUUGGUCAAUGGGCGAGAGCCUGAACCAGCCAAGUCGCGUGAAGGAUGACGGCCCUACGGGUUGUAAACUUCUUUUGUCAGGGAGCAAUUGAGUCCACGUGUGGCGCUUUGCGAGUACCUGAAGAAAAAGCAUCGGCUAACUCCGUGCCAGCAGCCGCGGUAAUACGGAGGAUGCGAGCGUUAUCCGGAUUUAUUGGGUUUAAAGGGUGCGUAGGCGGAAUAUCAAGUCAGCGGUAAAAAUUCGGGGCUCAACCCCGUCGUGCCGUUGAAACUGAGGUGCUUGAGUGGGCGAGAAGUAUGCGGAAUGCGUGGUGUAGCGGUGAAAUGCGUAGAUAUCACGCAGAACUCCGAUUGCGAAGGCAGCAUACCGGCGCCCAACUGACGCUGAGGCACGAAAGCGUGGGUAUCGAACAGGAUUAGAUACCCGAGUAGUC
rnacentral:rRNA from 1 species